AGCGCGAACCGGAGGAGCCGCACAGAACCCGAGCCGGCCCUCCCAUCGGCGCCGCCGCCCCUCCCCGUCCGCUAGGGUUGAGGUCGCCCAGCCAUCUCCGCUGCGCCACCUCCGCCAGCAGGGUGGGCUCCUCCAGCGGCAAGGUGCUCCGGCAGUCCGGCAUGAAGGUGCUCCGGUGUGCCCCUGUUGAUCUCCUCCUCGUGCAAAAAUGACAUCAGCAACCAGGUCGUAGUAGUAUGGCAAAGUAGGCGAGGCAUUCUGAAUCUACAGGAUGUGUGACAGUUAAAACUUUAGUGGUAAGCAAAUGAUAAAGUUGCCCAGGUCAUGUGCAAAGCGAGUCACCCGAGGCCUGAACAUACAUAUAGAGGAUUUGUUUGUUUCAAGUGGGGAAGGAUAUGAUAUCAAAGUGAACAAGAAAGCAGUGUUGAAGACGGACAGUAGUAUACAUACCUGCACCCUGUUGGCCUCUUUGGCGUUUCUGAGCAUGUCGAUGUUUUCCUCCCUAAUGAAAUGGCUUUGAUCCCUAAUCUCCACACCCUAUUGCAGUGAACAGAGCGCGCACACACAGUCACACACACAAGAUAAUUCAGAUGAAGUAUGCCAAAUUCUUCUCGGAUGGACAACUUUGCUUGAUUAUGAAAUCCUGCUAUAAAAACUGUAUUCACUGCUGCUGCUGUACUACUUGUGAUGAUGUUGCUGCUGUACUACUUGUGAUGCUGUUGCUACUGCAGAGUUGAUCAUUAUAUUCA